CACCAGACUCCUACGGGAGGCAGCAGUGGGGAAUAUUGCACAAUGGGGGAAACCCUGAUGCAGCAACGCCGCGUGAGUGGAGAAGUCAUUCGUGAUGUAAAGCUCUAUCAGCAGGGAAGAAAAUGACGGUACCUGAGUAGGAAGCCCCGGCUAACUACGUGCCAGCAGCCGCGGUAAUACGUAGGGGGCAGGCGUUAUCCGGAUUUACUGGGUGUAAAGGGAGCGUAGACGGCCAGACAAGUCUGAAGUGAAAAGCCAGCGCUUAACGUUGGAAGUGCUUUGGAAACUGCCGGGCUGGAGUGCAGGAGGGGCAGGCGGAAUUCCUAGUGUAGCGGUGAAAUGCGUAGAUAUUAGGAGGAACACCAGUGGCGAAGGCGGCCUGCUGGACUGCAACUGACGUUGAGGCUCGAAGGCGUGGGGAGCACACAGGAUUAGAUACCCUCGUAA
rnacentral:rRNA from 1 species